UACGAAGGGGGCUAGCGUUGUUCGGACUUACUGGGCGUAAAGCGCACGUAGGCGGAUCUUUAAGUCAGAGGUGAAAUCCCAAGGCUCAACCUUGGAACUGCCUUUGAUACUGGGGAUCUUGAGUCCGGGAGAGGUGAGUGGAACUGCGAGUGUAGAGGUGAAAUUCGUAGAUAUUCGCAAGAACACCAGUGGCGAAGGCGGCUCACUGGCUCGGUACUGACGCUGAGGUGCGAAAGCGUGGGGAGCAAACAGG
rnacentral:rRNA from 1 species